rnacentral:lncRNA from 1 species
GCCAUAAUCGAGAAUUAGGACUCAAAUGUUCAAGAUGACACCAAUAUGAAAAUCUUCUUUAAUGGUUCUCAAAUGACAAAUUUUAAGUUAAUAUACAUGUGUGGAUGUGCGUGCGUGCAUGUGUUAAUGUAUGUGUAUAUGUAUAUAUAAUUAGAUUAUGCACUUUAUAUUAACUUAUUCAAAGUCAAUGAUAGAUUAUCCAAACUCAAGAUCU